rnacentral:rRNA from 1 species
GAUGAACGCUGGCGGCGUGCCUAAUACAUGCCAGUCGAGCGAACGGACGAGAAGCUUGCUUCUCUGAUGUUAGCGGCGGACGGGUGAGUAACACGUGGAUAACCUACCUAUAAGACUGGGAUAACUUCGGGAAACCGGAGCUAAUACCGGAUAAUAUUUUGAACCGCAUGGUUCAAAAGUGAAAGACGGUCUUGCUGUCACUUAUAGAAGGAUCCGCGCUGCAUUAGCUAGUUGGUAAGGUAACGGCUUACCAAGGCAACGAUGCAUAGCCGACCUGAGAGGAUGAUCGGCCACACUGGAACUGAGACACGGUCCAGACUCCUACGGGAGGCAGCAGUAGGGAAUCUUCCGCAAUGGGCGAAAGCCUGACGGAGCAACGCCGCGUGAGUGAUGAAGGUCUUCGGAUCGUAAAACUCUGUUAUUAGGGAAGAACAUAUGUGUAAGUAACUGUGCACAUCUUGACGGUACCUAAUCAGAAAGCCACGGCUAACUACGUG